rnacentral:rRNA from 1 species
AGCUCCAAUAGCGUAUAUUAAAGUUGCUGCAGUUAAAAAGCUCGUAGUUGGAUCUCGGGUAUCGUCUCGGUGGUCCUGUUCACGCAGGUACUGCCUUGAUGACCUAACCAAUGGUUGUAAGACUCCGAGUGCCCUUCACUGGGUGCUCGUGGGUGGCCAUUGCGUUUACUGUGAAAAAAUUAGAGUGUUCAAAGCAGGCUAUUUUGGCUCGAAUAGUCGUGCAUGGAAUAAUGGAAAAUGACACUGGCGCAUUUCCGUUGGUCUCUGUGACUGGUGUAAUGAUUAAGAGGGACUGCCGGGGGCAUUGGUAUGGCGGGGUUAGAGGUGAAAUUCUUGGAUCCUCGCCAGACCAACAAAAGCGAAAGCAUUUGCCAAGAAUGUCUUCA